rnacentral:rRNA from 1 species
AUUGAACGCUGGCGGCAGGCCUAACACAUGCAAGUCGAACGGUAACAGGAAACAGCUUGCUGUUUCGUUGACGAGUGGCGGACGGGUGAGUAAUGUCUGGGAAACUGCCUGAUGGAGGGGGAUAACUACUGGAAACGGUAGCUAAUACCGCAUAACGUCGCAGGACCAAAGAGGGGGACCUUCGGGCCUCUUGCCAUCGGAUGUGCCCAGAUGGGAUUAGCUAGUAGGUGGGGUAACGGCUCACCUAGGCGACGAUCCCUAGCUGGUCUGAGAGGAUGACCAGCCACACUGGAACUGAGACACGGGCCAGACUCCUACGGGAGGCAGCAGUGGGGAAUAUUGCACAAUGGGCGCAAGCCUGAUGCAGCCAUGCCGCGUGUAUGAAGAAGGCCUUCGGGUUGUAAAGUACUUUCAGCGGGGAGGAAGGGAGUAAAGUUAAUACCUUUGCUCAUCGACGUUACCCGCAGAAGAAGCACCGGCUAACUCCGUGCCAGCCGCCGCAGUAA